rnacentral:rRNA from 1 species
UGGGGAAUAUUGGACAAUGGGCGCAAGCCUGAUCCAGCCAUGCCGCGUGAGUGAUGAAGGCCCUAGGGUUGUAAAGCUCUUUCACCGGUGAAGAUAAUGACGGUAACCGGAGAAGAAGCCCCGGCUAACUUCGUGCCAGCAGCCGCGGUAAUACGAAGGGGGCUAGCGUUGUUCGGAUUUACUGGGCGUAAAGCGCACGUAGGCGGACUAUUAAGUCAGGGGUGAAAUCCCGGGGCUCAACCCCGGAACUGCCUUUGAUACUGGUAGUCUUGAGUUCGGGAGAGGUGAGUGGAAUUCCGAGUGUAGAGGUGAAAUUCGUAGAUAUUCGGAGGAACACCAGUGGCGAAGGCGGCUCACUGGCUCGAUACUGACGCUGAGGUGCGAAAGCGUGGGGAGCGAACAGG